rnacentral:rRNA from 1 species
GAUGAACGCUGGCGGCGUGCUUAACACAUGCAAGUCGAACGAAACGGCUAGUUUCUGUUCUUCGGAUGGAGUUGUUGAUGGCUGAGUAGCGGACGGGUGAGUUACCCUUGGCUAAGCUGCCUCAUACAGGGGGAGAACAUAUAGAAAUGAAUGCUAAUACCGCAUAGGGGCACAGCGCCAGAUUGUUCGGGGGUAAUAACGCGGGUGGUAUGUGAUGGAGUCGAGUCGGAUUAGGUAGUUGGUGGGGUAGCGGCAUACCAGGCCGGCGAGCGGUAGCCGAGAGGGGAGGCGGACCGGCUGCAUUGGGACUGAGACACGGCCUCAAAUCCUACGGGAGGCAGGAGUGGGGAAUAUUGCAGAAUGGGGGCAAAUCUGAUGCAGCGACGUCGCGUGAGACGUGAAGUAUUUCGGUAUGUCAAGCCGUAUGAGACGGGACGAAAAUGACGGUACCUGAAUAAGAAGCACCGGCUAAAUACGUG